CCGACCUUAGCUCAGUUGGAAGAGCACAAGACUGUAAUUGGAAAACAUUGAUCGCUAUCUUGGGGUCGCCUGUUCGAACCAGGCAGGUCGGA